rnacentral:misc_RNA from 1 species
AAGUCGUAACAAGGUUUCCGUAGGUGAACCUGCGGAAGGAUCAUCAACAAGGCCCUCUGGGCAGUCUUACACGUACGAGAUCCUGGCGGUGGAGUUGGUUGGCGACGGCCACCGGUGAACUCUGCUGGCGUUUGGGAUCAGGCCUCGGCCAGUGGCUAGUCCACACGGGCCGGCGGGGGACUGACGGGUCUCAAGCCGGUCGUUUCUAUACCACACACGUUUUGAUUGGAGUGGGAUCGGACGGACGAGAGUCUGUCUGCACCACUGAACAGGAGAACACUGACGGGGUAGUUCCCGUCAGCAAUGCGUAAAACUUUCGGCAAUGGAUCUCUCGGCUCUCC